GAGCUACUAAUCUAUAAGUAAUGAAAAAGCAUUCCAUUCGCCAACUUUAUAUCUUUGUUAAAAAUGUAUAAAUACAUAAAGUCAGAAGAAGAAGAGAUAAUCUCUUAUACUAUAUAUGUACCAGAGCAAAGAUCGAUUUUCGUGUGGGAAUAGUGCUUACUUUACUGAAAGCUUAGUAACACCCUUUGCCAUGUAUUGCAGUUUCUUUUUCUUUUGUUAGUUACCGCCCCAUGAAUUCUUCAAAGCAGGCUAUCUCCGACAAAGACGAUGAUGCCAUGCUAGAUCACACAAGGUGCGAAGCCUUGACUAAUUCUGUAACAUUGGGGCGUAGCUGCUAUUUCACCGGGAGUGUAGGGCUCUUGUAGCUCCUUUGAUUGAUUAAGAUGAAAACUUCACGAUAGUAUAGGCUAAUGAUUCCAUUUUUGAUAAACAUGUGAUUCGCAUCUUGCUUUCAAAACAAAACAUUUGCUAUUGUAGCCGUAAAUUUGGGUAGCCGAUGGCCUGUGAUAAGACUGGAAUAUGCAGCAAAUGUCAUUUUUAAUGUAUUGAAAGAAAAAAAAGAAAGAAAAAAGAAAGAAGAGGAAGAAUCCAGCCCACUAGUAGUACUCAUCCCAGUUUCUCUCCUUGUGGGUGAAGCAGGGAACGGAACAAGCAAUCAAGUCAGCCAGGUCGGGGUCAUUUCCUACCUAGCCUAAGAGUAGACUAAGAGCAAUCCCUUAAAUAGGAUCUUCCAUCCCUAAAAGCACAUUCCCCUCCUCGCUCAGGAAAGUCAGAAAUGGAUAAAACUUCCUUGUCUUAUUCUGAUUCACUUGCAGAAAGCUCCCCAACAGUAGGAGCAUCAAUCCGAUUUAUCUAAAUAGACGUCCAUUUUGUCGAUACAGUUUAUGGAAAUACGGGAAUGGACAUUUGAAAACAUAUGUCAGUUCCUUUGCCCGAGAUUGGACAGUCAAAGAAAGGCUAACCCCGUCUUAAGUUCAGAACCAUGCCUUUAUCCUGCAUUACAUCGGUGUAAACUUCUGUUAUUUGGCCUUUUUGCCCAACUCUUAGGACUUUUGCGAUCGAGCAACCUAUGAAGAGGUGCGGACUUUGAAUAAAAGUAGUAUAACAUGUUAUAUGCAUUUUAUUCAGAAAAUGAAUAUACGUUGUCUCCAACACUGCGUAGCUUCCAUCACUUUGAUGGGGGGGUGAGCAUCAUCGAGGGACGUUCCCCCCUACUACAAGGUCUUUGGGGGUAUCCCCUCCACCUACUCAUCAUGGGGC
rnacentral:misc_RNA from 1 species